ACAUCCCCGCCUGACCCGCGAUGCCGGAGAGAAGCCCCAUCCUGUUUGGCUCACUCCGCACCUUCCGGUCCCCUGAGAGGGCUGGCUGCCGCGGGCGGAGUCUGAGUGUUACAGUUGAGAGCCGAGUGCAGAGGCACGUGCCGGAGAGGAAGCCCCGAGAGCCAGCCGUGAAGAAGGAAGCUUUGCUCCAGAGACUGUAACCAGGGCGAUUGGGAGGCUGGCCUGGGUGUGGGGUGAUUCAGACGAUGGCAAGCAAACGAACACAUAACACCUCUUUGUCUAACUCAGGGAGGCCAAAUGAACUUCUCGAGAACGGUGAAUUUUCCAGGUUCUGCCUUUUUUUUGGAGGAAGAACUUCCAAGUAUCAAUAUAAUAAUCAAACAACUAGUGAGGACUUUUUGAUGUCUAAAGGUGCAUAGUCUCUGAGAAGUCUUCAGAGCAUCUCUUGACAAGACAACCUGGGCAAAAGUGAACAUCCUUCAACUAGAGCAACCAUUUCCCUCACAGUGCAGCAGCCACCACUCAAAGAAUGUGGGAACUUCUUGAAGGAGAAAAUUGGUAUAUCAGCUAACUUUGUUGUAUAACAAGCUAUCUCUUAACUUUAGCCACCUUGAAAUAAUAACCAUGAUUUCGUGGG